rnacentral:rRNA from 1 species
AUUGAACGCUGGCGGCAGGCCUAACACAUGCAAGUCGAGCGAGAAAGGUCUUCGGACUGAGUACAGCGGCGGACGGGUGAGUAAAGCGUAGGAAUCUACCUGGUAGUGGGGGGAUAACUUGGGGAAACUCAAACUAAUACCGCAUACGCCCUACGGGGGAAAGCGGGGGACCGUUCGGGCCUCGCGCUAUCAGAUGAGCCUGCGUAGGAUUAGCUAGUUGGUGAGGUAAAGGCUCACCAAGGCGACGAUCCUUAGCUGGUCUGAGAGGAUGAUCAGCCACACUGGGACUGAGACACGGCCCAGACUCCUACGGGAGGCAGCAGUGGGGAAUAUUGCGCAAUGGGCGAAAGCCUGACGCAGCCAUGCCGCGUGUGUGAAGAAGGCCUUAGGGUUGUAAAGCACUUUCAAUUGGAAGAAAGUUGGUCGUUAAUAGCGGCCAGCCCUGACAUUACCUUUAGAAGAAGGACCGGCUAACUCCGUGCCAGCAGCCGCGGUAA